GAUGGCCUAAGCCUACUAUAUUCAGUUGCCUCUGCUGCCAUUUUGGCAUCGACUUUGGCAAUUCUUGGGCAUCUUCUCCUUUGCAGGAGUGGUGGCGUUUUUCUUCCUCAACUUAGGCGACAACAAGGCACUGCUUUGCUUGGAUCUAUCCAUCUCUCGCUCAAAGCAGGUACAUAAUUUUGACAACUGACGCCGUCCCUACUCCAAAUAUAUCUACUAUCACACCUCCUACUCCUCCAACAUAAGCCACACCUAUUGAGUCCAUAUUGUCUACAGACUCUCGUUCCAUUCAUGUGAGAAAUCAUUCCUCUUAACUUAAUGAUUACCAUUGUUUUUUCACCAUUCUCCAAUUUCAAAAACCCAAAUCUUUUAAAAAAGCCUCUUAUAAUCCUCUUUGGCAGUAAACUAUAAAUGAUGAAUUGCAUGCCCUAGGGAAAAUGCAUACUUGAAAUCUUGUUGAUUUUUUUCUUGGUAAAACUCUUGUUAAGUAUUGAUGGAUCUAGAAAAACAAGAUUCAUUUUGAUGAUUCUUUGAAACAACGUAAGGCCUGCUUAGUGGCUCAAGAUUUCACUCAAGAGUAUGGUAUAAAUUAUGGAGAGACUUUUGCACUUGUUGCUCAUAUGACUUCUGUGCGCAGCCUUUUAGCCAUUGCUGCUAUUAAGGAUUGGACUCUUCAUUAGAUGAAUUUAAAAAUGCUUUUUUGAAUGGCGAUUUAGAAGAAGUGUUUAUGAAAUCUUCACUUGGGUAUCAACAUUCGAAAGACAAAGUUUGUCAUCUCCACCGUGCUCUAUAUGGGCUUAAACAAGCUCCUCGUGCAUGGUUUGCUAAGUUUAAUAAUAUUAUGAGUCAAUUAGGUUUCACGUGUAGUUCUCAUGACUCAGCUCUUUUUGUUCACUUUACUACUCGUGGUAUUGUUCUGUUGCUGUUGUAUGUUGAUGACAUGAUGAUCGCAAAUAGUGAUGAUGUAAGAGUCGAGGAACUUAAAGAUAUAUUUGGGCUAGCAAUUUAAAAUGAAAGAUCUUGGAAGACUGAACUAUUUUCUCAGGUUUGAGGUCCAUGAUGGGAGAGAUGGUAUUUUCUUUCUCAAGUCAAGUAUGACCACUAAUUUGAUGUCUCGAGCUCACCUUUCUAAUAAGAAGGUUGAAAAUACUCCUAUUGAACCUUAUUAAAUUAUCCUACCCGUUAUUGCCAGCUCGUUAGGGGCCUCAUCCUUCUUACUGUUACCCAUCCUGACAUUGCUUAUACGGUGCACAUUAUUAGCCAAUUUAUGUCAAAGCCUUAAACUACUCAUUAUAUAGCAGUUCUUCAAAUCAUUUGGUACAUCAAAUGUACUCUA